ensembl:lncRNA
UUUCCCCCUAAACAGUCAGUUGACUGAGAGAAAUGCAAUCCAUUAUUGUGAAAGCCGAAGGAGAUGUGCUCCAUAGUCAGACUUAUAUUUCCUUAACUUACAUCCUAUGUUCUGUUUAAUUCUGGCAUCCCUUUGAUGGAAAUUGGUUAAACUAUUGCUCAACUUAUGUCUGAAUGACGGCAGAUAAUUCUGAUGAAACUGACCCCGUAAGCACUUUGCAGCUGAGUCAAGGGCUUGUGGAAAUAAGGUCAAGGAGGUGUCCGGCGUGAGUGCGCGUGCGGCCUGACAUUCAAUUUGGGACAUCUGACAGACACAUUAGUGCAACUCAGAGUGUGAGCAGCAACUCCUGUAUACUAAACAUAAGAAAAGUAAUGUGUAGUGCUUCUUUUUUUUUUUUUUAACAACCGAGAUUCCAGGGCACAUGCUUAUAUGGUUUUCUUUUAUUCAAAAGCAGAUUACUUUAGCGAUUGUGUAACUGUGUCCUUGACAUUUGUCAGGGAGGAGUGUAAGUACAGAGAGGAGGAAUUCCUACUUCCCAUUCAUGUACUCUGCAAUGUGCAUUGUGUCCUUGUAACGUGUUUACCUUUUUUCUAAAUAAAUAGCUGUGAAAAAACCCAUCAAAGUUGAGGUAAGUAUUCACCACAGUAUCGUGUUUUUUUUUAUUAGGGUCAAAUUUCUCUUUGGGUAAAAAUUAAGCCAACAUCCAAGUGUCAAAGGUCGGUUCUAAAAAACAAGUAGGUCCCUGAAGCUUAUUUGUGCCACAGAUGCUAAUUCAGUGACUGCGGGGGUGUGUAAGGAAUGUUUUGGGACCUGUCUGAUCUUAAAAAACUACCUUUGUUGUUACAUUACAGCAAUAUUGAGGAAAGAUUUAACGGCUGAUCAUGGAGCAGGAUGAAGGUCAAAGGGAAAGUCCCUGCCACGCUUCCGGUUACUCUUCCAUCCAGCGUAGUCAUCCGUGCUAUAUCGCCCCUCCUGACCCGGAGUGGUAUAACGUUUUGUAGAAAAGCUUGAUCGAUUCUCUCUCUCUCUCUUACCAAAAUAAUAAAUUCUCUGGGGUUUUUUUUUUUCUCAUACGUUUAUGGUACCCAACGGAGGAAGCAUCCCGAGCUCUCGGAGGUAAUUGACCGGGAUGAACCGACGGUCGUCUGACUCCUUCUUGAUGUGUGUAAAACAAGGCAGUUUUCUUUUAGGGUUUCUAUUUUUCAGUCUAUUGAGAAAACCUGUUGUAAAAGUAGCUUAAAAAAAUGAAGAAAAACUCUUUACUUUGAUCUGAGAAGGAGUGGCUGCACAAACCCAAAAUACCUCAUCGAGGUGUUUUAAUAAAAAUAUUUGGGAUAGAGUAAUGAAUAUGUGCUUUUUUUUUUCUUUCUUUUUUUUUACUCGGGGUUAUUUUGCACGUACAAGGAGUUGGGACCUUUAUGAAAUUCUUUGCUUGGCUGGAGGCAUUAAGAAAUACUAAUAACGAUUCUGAUACUCUGGGCCUCUUAGCAUCAACUGAGCAGUGUUUAAAUGCCACAGCUACCUGCGUAUUGUUGAUGACCAUGUCAAAACCAUAAUGACGACCAUGUACCCAUCUUCUGAUGGCUGCUUCCAGGUGGACACCUUAAUGCCACAGAGCUCCAAUCAUCUCAUAUUAUUUUCAUGAGCAUGACAGUGAGAUGACAGUGGCUGACAAAUCUGCAGUAACUGUGUGACGCUGUCAUGUCAAUAUGGGCCAAAGUCUUUAAGGAAUGUUUCCAGCACUUUAUUGAAUCUAUGCUAUGAACGAUUGAGGCACUUCUGAAUGCAAAAAGGGGGUCCAACCUGGUACUGCUAAUGUGCAAGGUGAGUGUAUUUAUGCAUAUACACAUUAACUACAAGUAAACAGCACAAUAACUAACGACACCAACAAUCAUAAACCAGUGCAGGAAAGCAGGGAUGAGGGUGGUUGC